ensembl:ncRNA C07G1.11 ncRNA
GGUCAAAUUUUAUAAUGUAGAAGAUGAUUUCUGCUUUAGUGAAAUUUCAAAAUAAUAUUCGGUAAAUUUUGAACUGGUUUAGGAUCUAAUGGAAACAAUUUGUGAUUUCAAAUUUGCCACUUCCUAUUAAUCAUUGGCAUCAUUGUCUUUUAGGUGUUCCUCUUUUUCCAAUUUGUUUUGUUUUUUAUGUCUUCUUCCUGGACAGUGGGAACUCGUGGGAGUUUU